GUGGCUCAAUGGUGGAGUACUUGCUUUGCAUGCAUGAGGUCCUGGGUUCGAUUCCUCAGC
rnacentral:tRNA from 1 species